CCUACGGGAGGCAGCAGUAGGGAAUAUUGGGCAAUGGAUGCAAGUCUGACCCAGCCAUGCCGCGUGCAGGAAGAAGGUCCUCUGGAUUGUAAACUGCUUUUAUCGGGGAAGAAUAGUUUUCUUGCGAGGGAAUGUGACGGUACCCGAUGAAUAAGCCACGGCUAACUACGUGCCAGCAGCCGCGGUAAUACGUAGGUGGCAAGCGUUGUCCGGAUUUAUUGGGUUUAAAGGGUGCGUAGGUGGUUUUAUAAGUCAGUGGUGAAAGCUGGUUGCUCAACAAUCAAGUUGCCAUUGAUACUGUUAGACUUGAGAGAAGUGGAGGUUCAUGGAAUGGAUGGUGUAGCGGUGAAAUGCAUAGAUAUCAUCCAGAACGUCGAUUGCGAAGGCAGUGGGCUGUACUUUUUCUGACACUGAGGCACGAAAGCGUGGGGAUCAAACAGGAUUAGAUACCCUGGUAGUCCACGCUGUAAACGAUGCGAACUAGCUUUCGGGUUUAAGAUUCGGGGGCUAAGGGAAACCGAUAAGUCCGCCACCUGGGGAGUACGCCGGNAACGGUGAACUUAAGGAAUUGACCGGNUGAGAGNGCGAGACGACGACGAGGGAGAGG
rnacentral:rRNA from 1 species